CACCUUACCUUAGAGUGGGUGGCAGCAGCCGCGGUAAUACGGAAGGUCCGGGCGUUAUCCGGAUUUAUUGGGUUUAAAGGGAGCGUAGGCCGGAGAUUAAGCGUGUUGUGAAAUGUAGAGGCUCAACCUCUGCACUGCAGCGCGAACUGGUUUCCUUGAGUACGCACAAAGUGGGCGGAAUUCGUGGUGUAGCGGUGAAAUGCUUAGAUAUCACGAAGAACUCCGAUUGCGAAGGCAGCUCACUGGAGCGCAACUGACGCUGAAGCUCGAAAGUGCGGGUAUCGAACAGGAUUAGAUACCCCGGUAGUCCCUCCAGGAUUGCAGGUACCA
rnacentral:rRNA from 1 species